rnacentral:rRNA from 1 species
AUAUCAAUAAGCGGAGGAAAAGAAACCAACAGGGAUUGCCCUAGUAACGGCGAGUGAAGCGGCAACAGCUCAAAUUUGAAAUCUGGCCCCUCCGGGGUCCGAGUUGUAAUUUGCAGAGGGUGNUUCGGCGUCGGCCCCGGGUCAAGUCCCCUGGAACGGGGCGUCCCAGAGGGUGAGAACCCCGUANCNACCCGGGUGCCCUUCGCCGUGUGAAGCCCCUUCGACGAGUCGAGUUGUUUGGGAAUGCAGCUCUAAGUGGGAGGUAAAUUUCUUCUAAAGCUAAAUACCGGCCAGAGACCGAUAGCGCACAAGUAGAGUGAUCGAAAGAUGAAAAGCACUUUGGAAAGAGAGUUAAAAAGCACGUGAAAUUGUUGAAAGGGAAGCUCUUGCCGCCAGACUUGCCGCGGUUGCUCAGCCGCCCUCCGGGGCGGUGNACUCUUCCGUCGGCAGGCCAGCGUCGGUUCGGGCGGCCGGAUAAAGGCCCCGGGAAUGUAGCACCCCUCGGGGUGUGUUAUAGCCCGGGGCGCAAUGCGGCCAGCCCGGUCCGAGGCACGCGUUCGCGAGGACGCUGGCGUAAUGGCUGCAAGCGACCCGUCUUGAAACACGGACCAAGGAGUCUAACAUCUGUGCGAGUGUUUGGGCGUCAAACCCAUGCGCGUAAUGAAAGUGAACGGAGGUGGGAACCCCCUCGAGGGGCGCACCAUCGACCGAUCCUGAUGUCUUCGGAUGGAUUUGAGUAAGAGCAUAGCUGUUGGGACCCGAAAGAUGGUGAACUAUUCCCGGAUAGGGUGAAGCCAGAGGAAACUCUGGUGGAGGCUCGCAGCGGUUCUGACGUGCAAAUCGAUCGUCAAAUCUAGGAAUAGGGGCGAAAGACUAAUCGAACCAU